AAAUAAAAUUGAGAAUGGAAAUGGGGAAUGUGCCAAAGAGACAACAACCCGACCAUAGAGCAGACAACAGCAGAAGGUCACCAACAGGUCUUCAAUUCAACGAGAAAUUCCUGCACCCGGAGGCGUCCUUCAGCUGGCCCUAAACAAAUGUAUACUAGUUCAGUGAUAAUGAACGCCAUACUAAACUCCAAAUUGUACACAAGAAACUAAAAGUUAAAAUAAUACAAGACUAACAAAGGCCAGAGGCUCCUGACUUGGGACAGGCGCAAAAAUGCGGCGGGGUUAAACAUGUUUGUGAGAUCUCAACCCUCCCCCUAUACCUCUAGCCAAUGUAGAAAAGUAAACGCAUAACAAUACGCACA
rnacentral:lncRNA from 1 species